ACGGGUGAGUAACGCGUGGGAACAUACCUUUUGGUUCGGAACAACACAGGGAAACUUGUGCUGAUACCGGAUAAGCCCUUACGGGGAAAGAUUUAUCGCCGAAAGAUUGGCCCGCGUCUGAUUAGCUAGUUGGUGAGGUAAUGGCUCACCAAGGCGACGAUCAGUAGCUGGUCUGAGAGGAUGAUCAGCCACAUUGGGACUGAGACACGGCCCAAACUCCUACGGGAGGCAGCAGUGGGGAAUAUUGGACAAUGGGGGCAACCCUGAUCCAGCCAUGCCGCGUGAGUGAUGAAGGCCCUAGGGUUGUAAAGCUCUUUUGUGCGGGAAGAUAAUGACGGUACCGCAAGAAUAAGCCCCGGCUAACUUCGUGCCAGCAGCCGCGGUAAUACGAAGGGGGCUAGCGUUGCUCGGAAUCACUGGGCGUAAAGGGUGCGUAGGCGGGUCUUUAAGUCAGGGGUGAAAUCCUGGAGCUCAACUCCAGAACUGCCUUUGAUACUGAAGAUCUUGAGUUCGGGAGAGGUGAGUGGAACUGCGAGUGUAGAGGUGAAAUUCGUAGA
rnacentral:rRNA from 1 species